AGAGAGAGACAUGCGCGCAUAUCAAUAAGCGGAGGAAAAGAAACUAACAAGGAUUCCCUUAGUAACGGCGAGUGAAGCGGGAAGAGCUCAAAUUUGAAAUCUUCAAGGUUUUACCUUGACGAAUUGUAGUUUAAAGAAGUGUUUUCUGCUGAAGUUUUGGUAAAAGUUCUUUGGAAUAGGACAUCAUAGAGGGUGAGGAUCCCGUAUUUGACCAUUAUUUUCCAGCUUUGUGAUACACUUUCAAAGAGUCGGAUUGUUUGGGAAUGCAGUCCAAAAUGGGUGGUAAAUUUCAUCUAAAGCUAAAUAUUGGCGAGAGACCGAUAGCGAACAAGUACCGUGAGGGAAAGAUGAAAAGAACUUUGAAAAGAGAGUUAAACAGUACGUGAAAUUGUCAAAAGGGAAGCGUUUGACACCAGUGUUGUUUUCUCGAAAAUCAAUUAAAAAAGGCAGGAUUUUGUGUUGUAUUGACUUUAUCAGCAUUUCUGCACUCUUUUCUUGUCUUUUUUAAUGCACUUUUCGUUUAACAAGUCAACAUCAAUUUCUUUUGUUGUAAAAGGGUCAUUGGAAGGUGGCUUUCUUUUCGGAGAAAGUGUUUAUAGCCUUUGGCCUCUGCAAUCGGAGAGAUUGAGGUCUGCAGCGUAGACUCCUUCGGGGUUAGAUACAUUUGUGCUAAGUUAUAGCCUUUUCAUAGACAACUUGUUGACUAUAAUCAGUCAUGUAGCUUACUCGCUUAUGCUAUUUUACCUACGCUUAGGAUGUUGAAGUCAUCGUAUCGCGC
rnacentral:rRNA from 1 species